CUGAGACCUUUGCAGAGAGCAGAAGCAAGAACCAGAGGUCAGAGAGUAUCUAGCCUCACUUUCGUACUCAGGAGAACUUCCAGAGAAGAGCCUGCCGUGUUUCCAGCCCCAGCCAUGCUCCUGCUGCUCGCCUCAGUGCUGGGGCUUCACUUGGCCCUGAGAGACGCUGGAGCCCAGACGGUGACCCAGCCCGACGCCCACGUCUCUGUGUCUGAAGGAGAAGCUGUGGAACUGAGGUGCAACUACUCCUAUGGGGCAACCCCUUAUCUCUUCUGGUACGUCCAGCACCGCGGUCAAGGUCCUCAGCUUCUCCUUAGGUACUUUUCAGGGGACACCCUGGUUCAGGGCCUCCACGGUUUUGAGGCUGAAUUUAAGAAGAGCGAAUCUUCCUUCCACCUGAGGAAGCCCUCUGUGCACCUGAGCGAUGCUGCUUGGUACUGGUGUGCUCUGAGUGCCACAGCGCCUGGGGCUGCAGGGGGAGCAGUGCAUAAACCACCCCUGAGUGCAGAGCUCAGAAACUCAGAACCUCUUCCUGGGCUGCGAAGCCAGCGGCAUCUUCUGGAGCAUCAAAACCGCUCAAAUAACACCCUCGGAACACUCUUGCACAUCGGAAUCUCUAAGUCAUCGUCGAGCGAUCACAUCUUGGAAGAUGACAAACAUUCUGAGGAAAAUGGAAAGGAGAAGAACACUUUCCAGAUUCUGUUUGGCUCAUAG